rnacentral:lncRNA from 1 species
ACUCUUUUAGAUCUACCCCGUUGAGUGGCAUUCUUGUGAAAAUUAUGUAAAGAUAUUUAUCAGAAUAAGGUAGAAGUGUAGGGGGUGGCAGGUGAGGUGCAGAAGAAGAAGAAGAAGAAGAAGAAGUUGUACCUAUCCAGUAAUUUUAUCUUGAUUUGUGGACUAGACGAAGACUAGAUUUUGAUGAAAUCGACAAACUUGAACUGCAGGACUCGUGGCGCUGCUCGCCUCCUCGCCAAUGCGAAUGCGUUCUCUGAGGACAACCCGCCCAAGGCUACCAUGGCGAAGCCACGCCACCGCGCCGGCUAUAGACUCACGGCCUGAAGCGAGUUUGGGCGCGACGGCUGGCGAGCCAAGGCGGCGGAAAGUCGUCUGGCGGAGCUCCCGUCUGAGGCGAGCUUGAUCUGGUCAGACAGCUCCGCCACCGAUGGUGUGCUAGAUGGAGGAGGAGGGGCCACCCCCCCCCCCCCGAACCGCGACAUCCGAGAGGUGCGUGUCGCGGCAGGCGCCCUCUGCUUACACGCGCGGCGAGCUAUUCGCCCUAAGAGCGGUGUUGGAGGAGCUGGCCGGACGGAUGGUACCGGUCGAUAUGGGUCGACCGCUGUCCUGGCUCCGUCCUGGAGGCCGACCGUGCAGUCGUUAUCGACAUCCGCCAGUACCUGCUCUGCAUCGGCCGCCUCCCGAGGCCGGAUGCCCACAAUUCAACGACGUGGAGUGCCCUGCUGCCCGAUGCCGCGUCUGCCGCGAAGAGGCUGGCACUCCACGGUAUGUGCUGCUGCGAUGCGUGGCGCUGGCGGCGUUGCGACAAAGAGCCUCGGCAGCUGAACUGCUUCAAGCGACGUAAUGAUAUCUGCCCUCCCCUCCCCUAUCGAGCCGCGUGGGUGUGGACGGACCGGUCGGCAGACGCGAGAACCUGCAGCGAAGGAGCUGGGGUCUACGGGGAGUAGCAGGACGAAUGGAGUGAUGAGCCGCGUGUCCCGACCGGUCCAUUCUGCUGUUCCAGCUCCAGGACCGGCCGCGCCGUCGCCACCCGUCCGGCGUCAGUGGAGGACCGCUCAUCAGCUGUCGAUUUUCAUCAGUUUCGUUUGGACCACUGGUCGGGCUCCUGCCAGUGCCGACAUUGGGUUGGGCGGAGUCCUACCGAUGAAUGCCGCGAGUGCUGCAACAUUGGCUCGGUACAUCUCGGUACAUUUUCCCGAGUCUGGUGUGGCUACGGGGAGACGGAUUUGGUGACCCUGGCUGCCGCCGUGAGAACCAUCCAGAACCGUACGGCUAUGCUGCGGCAGCAGCUGAAAGGAACGCAACAACAAUAACUACAACAGCAGCUGCUAAUGAAAGGGGAAAUCAUGGAGCCGGAUGACCCGGCACAUGGCGCUCAGCCAGCUGAGAAUGAGAGCAGCUAUCAAAUCGCCAGCAGGGUGCUGCGGCUGGUAACUGACGACCUUAACAGAGAGAGCGCCUCCGCUGAUGCGGAUGAAACUACCCCCUCUCGGGUUUGUUUGACGCCGUCUCCGUCGACUCUUUCGCCUGGGCCGGCUGGCGACCGCGACAUUUCUUGUGCAGUGACUCGUAACUAUGUUCACCAAACUUGUAAAACUCCUCACGUUAGCAUCUUUAAAGAAUGUUUCCCUUGUACACUGCUGCAAUGUCUUAUGUAGGCAUAUUGUAGGUACAGUCUAAACGAGUGUGGAAUGCUUUGUUGUGCUUGCUUGUUCUGUAUUUCGUUUGCUAUUUAUCACGGUGACUAUAAUUUAUUUUGACCAACAUUUGCCUUGUUGCAAUUUUAGUGGAUGUUUUCUGAACUGCUGUUUGCAUUAUAGAUGUUGCUAGUGCGUAGACGCCAAAGAUUACUUUAUACCUAUUGACGCGCCAGAUAAAGGAGGUGAAGUAUUCCUCUGAUCUCUACCUACGAAAUUCCUUUAUGUGUGUUUUGUAAUCGAUAUUGGCGGUUUUCUUAUGUGAUGCGGUGUAGAGCGUGGCUGAGGAAGGCGAUGUUUAAAGUUGCUAGUUAUUUUUCAAUACAUCUAUGAUCGGAC